AUGCCAUGGUGAGGGCAUUGCCUAAGUAAUUCUUUAAAUCUUUCCCGAGCUUUAAAUAGUUACUCAUCAUCUCCUUGCCUAAACGAGGUGAUCUCGUUUCUUAUCUU